UUCUGCCCGGUCCCUUGUAGGAUCCAGUCUAGAAGGUGCAGUAACCCCUCAGACAUCAGCAUGGCUGCCCCCGACUUCAGCAGAACAUGAUCAUUCUCUGUCAUGUGUGGUAACUCCUCAAGAUGGAGAGACUUCAGCACAAAUGAUAGAAGAAAAUUUGAACUGCCUUGGCCAUUUAAGCACUAUUAUUCAUGAGGCAAAUGAGGAACAGGGCAGUAGUAUGAUGGUAAGUUUUGUGUGGAUAUGGGUGCCUGCUUUGGCUAUGUUGGGUGCAAAAGGUUUAACUUUCCAUGCUAGCCUUAUCUGGCAUUUGGGAUGCAUAUGGGAAAUAGAAGAACUCAAGAGGAAAGAGCAUUUGGGGAAUAUCCUCAACCUUAAAUCCUUAUCUGCUGUUACUCAGGGAUAUACUAGGAUUAUGUCAUCA
rnacentral:sRNA from 1 species